AUGAGGAGUGUUGCACACUGUGACUCCGUGUUGCUUCAAGCGCAUCAUUCUACCCACGGUAUGUGCAUAAGCGCUUUGCACCUCUCUGUAUUUGAAACUUUUAGUAUUAUAAUACUUUUGCGCAAUGAAAUAUUAUUAAUAGCCUUUCUUGCUUGUCUUAUCUAUCAUAUGUUGCUGCCUCAUUACUCUUCUAUACAUUUAAAAGAAAUGUCUUUUAAUUUAUACAGUAGUUAACCUUUGAAGUGGAUCAAAAAAGUCAAUCAAAGUUGUUCUAAGACAAGAAUGGGUAUAGUUUUGGUUUUAAGAUUAUAUAAAUAUUUUUUGUUAUGUUAUUUUACUUUAUAAUUGUCACAAUCACCCUCUUGGAGGGAACGAGAAAAUGCCGGAGACAACACAAAUAAAUCCUCAAUAAUCCAAAGUAGAGACAGGAAACCAGGGAGACGUCCAACAAGUCCAUAGUUCUUACAUUUCGCCCCAUUUCGCGUCCUUGCACCAUAGGCACCAACAGGAGGAGGUAUAGGUUGGAGCUUGGAGGAGGUUCCGGUGGAAGAAGGGCCCCCAG
ensembl:lncRNA